rnacentral:lncRNA from 1 species
CUAAUUUUGGCCUCAAAUUUCAGGUUCAUCUGACGAAAGAUUUUGACCACUUUUUAAACACUUAAGUGUCUAUUUUAUUUGAUUCAAUUAGUUUAUGUGAAAGAUUUUAACUGAUUUAGUCAUUAAAAACGAUCCGAUUCAAGCUCAAAUAUGAAAAGUCUACCAAAUAAGCCAAAAAAUGUCACUUUUCAGAUGGUUUUUGUCAAAAAUGAAAGUGGCCGCAUCCGUGUUCAUCCUCAACCUUUAUAUAUGUUAUGUAUUAUCUUCAAAUACAACUUACAUUUCAAUAUUAAGGAUGAACACGAAUGCGGC